UUUCAAUGGAAAUAUGAUCAAAACUCUCGCAAAAAAAUAUCAGCACGUCACACGAGCCAAGCGGAACGCCGGUUGGCGUCCCUCUCUAAAUCCUCCGGGCGGAAACGACAACUCCCCCCCCUCCUCCUCCUCGUCCUCGGUGAGCGCCCGCUAGCUGUCAUUCGUCCUAGCCGAGCCAGCCGCUGCGUGUCGCUGGCGGAGUGGAGCAGCGAGAGCCGCGUGUACAUGACCGCCUCCGCCGGCACGGUGACGGCGCUUUCGUCUGCGAGCUGACCGUUAACACCUCGAGUGGAGAUAAGAGAUAAAACAAAAUAAAAAGGUUUAGCAGCACUACUUUGGAGCCAGCGCCAUUCUCCGCCGCCGCCGCCGCCGCCGCAGCAGCAGUAGCAGUUCGCCACUACACGGAGAGCGCCUGGACAUCCUCCCUGCUGACCAUGUGGCGUGCGUGUGCACUGGUCCUGGCGCUCGCCGCCGCCCUCGCCUCGGCGGACUCUGACACGCACAGACACGACUCCAACCUGGACCUCUACAAGCGUCUGUUCGAGACCAAGAGGAAAGACCAGCUGAACGCGCUGAAGAACCUGGUGGAGCUGAACGACAUCAACCAGCAGUACAAGAUCAUCGACAUCAUGCUCAAAGGACUCUUCAAGGUGUUGGAGGACUCUAAACUCAUCCUGGUUGCGGCCAACAUGCAGCCCGACGACCCGUUCCCCAUGGACGAUAAGAUCAAAGAAGCGUAUUCCCACGUGGUGGAGAACACGGCGUUCUUCGGCGACGUGGCGCUGCGCUUCCCCCGCAUCGUCCACCACUACUUCGACCGCAACGCCGACUGGGACGGCCUGCUGCGCUGGGGCCUGAACUUCUGCAACCAGACGGGCGUCUUCACAGGAGGAGCCCACCAGCAUGUCCUCACCCUGUUUGCGAAAACAACAACCAAUGAGCACUCAGUAAAUCACAAGGGACCCGCCCACCACACAGGUAAAGCUCAUUUAGAAACAGCCGCAGUGAUUUUGGCGAGCAGCACGGAGCUGUAGAGCCACGAGGAGGAACACGCAGCCAGAAGAGAGCCACUUGGACCGGGUAAGAGUCUUUACUACACGUUACGUGUCACGGUGUCCGUCCCGGUGUCCGUAACUUGUGCGCGGUGCUGACUAGUCUUGUAUUUUACAGAGAGGAUUCACCAGCGCCUGCAGCUCAACCUGCAGCUCAACCUGCAGCUCCACCUGCAGCUCCACCUGCCCAGCCAGCAGAGAGGUCUCGUGCCCCGGAGGACCACCAGCAUGACACGAUGACAUGAUGUUAUUAUAGUGAAGCCAUAUUGUAAAUAGUCUGUGCCAAUAGUUGUGUUCUGUUUUCUAUUUCUCAACAUGUAUAUAAUGUAGUUUUAUUUAUUUAUUUAUGUACAAUACAUAUUUAUUUGAAGAAAAGAAAAUGUAAUGGUCAUUUUUUAUUUGCACACACACCAUGAAGAUUUAUCUGCAAUAUGAAGUCAUUUCUCAGUCCCAUCUUUAUCAUUUUGGUGAAUGUGUGACUGACCACAUAAUUUUUACUCAAAACGAUAACAAAUUUAGUUUUCCACAUUUAUUUACAUGUAUCUAGCAUUGUAAUCAGAUAUUUCACUGCUUUUGUGAACCUAUGACCUUUGGUAAACCAAUUUCAAACACCAAAACAGUUCGUCCACAUGAUUAAAGGUGUGUUUUCAGAAGAGAUAUGAAGAAUUUUUAAAAAUCGAACUUCAAUUUUCAGCUUUAGGGCCAUAUUUUCUCUUUCCACUUCUACCUGAGGAAAAUUGCGCCUCAUUAUAUAGAGAGCUGAGACAAUCCGUCCAUUAUUUUGUGGGAUUUAAAACAAUUAGAAAUUAUUGAGCUUGAUUAUUUUGUUGGGUAAAAAUAUGUUUUGAAUGUUGAAAGUGCUUCCAUUGAUCUUUUUCCAGUAAAUGUCAAUUUCUUUAACUUUGCACCUUCAAUUGAAAUGUAUAAAAAUCAGAUGCAAUCUCCAGGUUUAAUAAAUUACAUUGCGUGUCCAAAUGCUCCUGGCCCGACCCCUCUGUCAAAUUUUAGAACCGAUUGUGGCCCGCAAGUCAAAAAGUUUGCCCACCCCUGGUCUAGACUCUAGUUCCUGUAGCUCAUAGGGUCUAAAGCUGAAUUGAUACAAAUACAAGGUGAGCUGUACUCCGAAGAAACAUCCCGGGACGGGACCGUCUCCUUAUCUCCUCUGGAUAAAUACUAACGUGCCUUUUCCUCCUCUGCUCAUCUCUCAGAUGUCACAGGAGCUGGGAAUAAUGGAGAAGUCCUCUGACUUCAUAAACCCGUACCGCACGGAGAGAGACGACGUGCUUCACACCGCCGAGGCUUUCCAG